rnacentral:lncRNA from 1 species
GUUACUGGGACCUGUUUUCAUUGUGUUUUAAAUGAGCCUGAUUUCUUGAGCAUACUUCUGUUACAAAUUUAAAAAGAAAUAAUUACUUGCUCAUAUGGUUUCUUGAAUUUUUUAUCCAGUAGGUAACACUUCCUCCUCUGACCUUCAGCCAUGGAAGUAAUCACUUGUGCUUGGCAUCAAAACUUUAUUCAGAUUUUAUUCAUAUGGAAGAUGAAACCUGUUGUGAUGAGAUUUAAUUUAGAGAAAAGAUUCCUUUAAGUAGAGCAACUAUUAACUAAGGUUAGAAGAACCUAUCAACUGCACAUUACUGACCUGAAUUGAGAUAGAUAUAAACAAGCAAUUUUUCAGGAAAUUAAAUCAGAGAUGUAUUAGACCUGGGUCUUUUCAUUGGGAAUCUCUUGUUUGUUUGACCUGUAGCUCUGUAAAACCUUAGACUCAAGCUUUUUUAUUUUUCUAGCAGUUCUGUUCCAUUACACAAGGAAAAGAUUCUUAGUAACUCCUGAAGUGCAACUGAUAAAGAAUGUCCCUCUGACCUUUCAGAAGCUACACUCAGGAAUAAGCUCAGCUUAUAUGAAGGAGCCAAGGGCGAAUCACUUCUGGAGCAAAGGAUUGAAGGAUCAGAUCAUAAAUUCAG